rnacentral:rRNA from 1 species
CGGACGGGUGAGUAAUGUCUGGGAAACUGCCUGAUGGAGGGGAUAACUACUGGAAACGGUAGCUAAUACCGCAUAACGUCGCAAGACCAAAGAGGGGGACCUUCGGGCCUCUUGCCAUCAGAUGUGCCCAGAUGGGAUUAGCUAGUAGGUGGGGUAACGGCUCACCUAGGCGACGAUCCCUAGCUGGUCUGAGAGGAUGACCAGCCACACUGGAACUGAGACACGGUCCAG